GAUGAACGCUAGCGGCAGGCUUAACACAUGCAAGUCGAGGGGUAUGCCGAUUUAUCGGCAGAGACCGGCGCACGGGUGCGUAACGCGUAUGCAAUCUACCUUUCACAGAGGGAUAGCCCAGAGAAAUUUGGAUUAAUACCUCAUAGUAUAGCAGUUUCGCAUGAAACCACUAUUAAAGUCACAACGGUGAAAGAUGAGCAUGCGUCCCAUUAGCUAGUUGGUAAGGUAACGGCUUACCAAGGCAACGAUGGGUAGGGGUCCUGAGAGGGAGAUCCCCCACACUGGUACUGAGACACGGACCAGACUCCUACGGGAGGCAGCAGUGAGGAAUAUUGGACAAUGGGCGCAAGCCUGAUCCAGCCAUGCCGCGUGCAGGAUGACGGUCCUAUGGAUUGUAAACUGCUUUUAUACAGGAAGAAACACUACUUCGUGAAGUAGCUUGACGGUACUGUAAGAAUAAGGAUCGGCUAACUCCGUGCCAG
rnacentral:rRNA from 1 species